AUGCCCCCAGUUGCUGUGUCU
rnacentral:miRNA from 1 species